GACGAACGCUGGCGGCGUGCUUAACACAUGCAAGUCGAGCGGUAAGGCCCUUUCGGGGGUACACGAGCGGCGAACGGGUGAGUAACACGUGGGUGACCUGCCCUCAGCUCUGGGAUAAGCCCGGGAAACUGGGUCUAAUACCGGAUAUGACUUCAUGACGCAUGUUGUGGAGUGGAAAGCCUUGUGCGGCUGAGGAUGGGCCCGCGGCUUAUCAGCUUGUUGGU
rnacentral:rRNA from 1 species